rnacentral:rRNA from 1 species
AGCGAACGCUGGCGGCAGGCCUAACACAUGCAAGUCGAACGAACCUUUCGGGGUUAGUGGCGGACGGGUGAGUAACACGUGGGAACGUGCCUUUAGGUUCGGAAUAACUCAGGGAAACUUGUGCUAAUACCGAAUGUGCCCUUCGGGGGAAAGAUUUAUCGCCUUUAGAGCGGCCCGCGUCUGAUUAGCUAGUUGGUUGAGGUAAUGGCUCACCAAGGCGACGAUCAGUAGCUGGUCUGAGAGGAUGAUCAGCCACAUUGGGACUGAGACACGGCCCAAACUCCUACGGGAGGCAGCAGUGGGGAAUCUUGCGCAAUGGGCGAAAGCCUGACGCAGCCAUGCCGCGUGAAUGAUGAAGGUCUUAGGAUUGUAAAAUUCUUUCACCGGGGACGAUAAUGACGGUACCCGGAGAAGGAGCCCCGGCUAACUUCGU